rnacentral:rRNA from 1 species
UGGGGAAUAUUGCACAAUGGGGGAAACCCUGAUGCAGCGACGCCGCGUGGAGGAAGAAGGUCUUCGGAUUGUAAACUCCUGUUGUUGAGGAAGAUAAUGACGGUACUCAACAAGGAAGUGACGGCUAACUACGUGCCAGCAGCCGCGGUAAAACGUAGGUCACAAGCGUUGUCCGGAAUUACUGGGUGUAAAGGGAGCGCAGGCGGGAAGACAAGUUGGAAGUGAAAACUAUGGGCUCAACCCAUAAAUUGCUUUCAAAACUGCUGGCCUUGAGUAGUGCAGAGGUAGGUGGAAUUCCCGGUGUAGCGGUGGAAUGCGUAGAUAUCGGGAGGAACACCAGUGGCGAAGGCGACCUACUGGGCACCAACUGACGCUGAGGCUCGAAAGCAUGGGUAGCAAACAGGAUUAGAUACCCUGGUAGUCCAUGCCGUAAACGAUGAUUACUAGGUGUUGGAGGAUUGACCCCUUCAGUGCCGCAGUUAACACAAUAAGUAAUCCACCUGGGGAGUACGACCGCAAGGUUGAAACUCAAAGGAAUUGACGGGGGCCCGCACAAGCAGUGGAGUAUGUGGUUUAAUUCGAAGCAACGCGAAGAACCUUACCAGGUCUUGACAUCCGAUGCAUAGUGCAGAGAUGCAUGAAGUCCUUCGGGACAUCGAGACAGGUGGUGCAUGGUUGUCGUCAGCUCGUGCCGUGAGAUGUUGGGUUAAGUCCCGCAACGAGCGCAACCCUUAUUGCCAGUUACUACGCAAGAGGACUCUGGCGAGACUGCCGUUGACAAAACGGAGGAAGGUGGGGAUGACGUCAAAUCAUCAUGCCUUUUAUGACCUGGGCUACACACGUACUACAAUGGCGUUUAACAAAGAGAAGCAAGACCGCGAGGUGGAGCAAAACUCAAAAACAACGUCUCAGUUCAGAUUGCAGGCUGCAACUCGCCUGCAUGAAGUCGGAAUUGCUAGUAAUCGCGGAUCAGCAUGCCGCGGUGAAUACGUUCCC